rnacentral:rRNA from 1 species
AACGAACGCUGGCGGCGUGGAUAAGACAUGCAAGUCGGACGCGAUUUUUCGUUGUAGCAAUACGAUGGAAAGUCAAGUGGCGAACGGGUGCUUAACACGUGGGCAACCUACCAGGAAGUGGGGGGUAGCUCGCCGAAAGGCGAAUUAAUACCGCAUGUGAUUAGAGAGGACAUCCUUUCGAAAUUAAAGUCGGGGCAACCUGACGCUUCUUGUGGGGCCCGCGGCCUAUCAGCUAGUUGGUGGGGUAACGGCCCACCAAGGCUUUGACGGGUAGCUGGUCUGAGAGGACGAACAGACACGCUGGGACUGAGACACGGCCCAGACACCUACGGGUGGCAGCAGUCGAGAAUUUUUGACAAUGGGGGAAACCCUGAUCGAGCGACGCCGCGUGGAGGAUGAAGGUCUUCGGAUUGUAAACUCCUGUCAUUGGGGAACAAUGCGUGACGGUUAACUGCCGUUGCGUUGAUAGUACCCGAAGAGGAAGAGACGGCUAACUCUGUGCCAGCAGCCGCCGUAAUAC